CAGAGAGUUGAGUGAUUUGCUGAUGAUCAUAGAGUUAGUAAGUAUGAAAGGUGAGAGUCAAACAGGUCUUCUUGAACACAUAUACGAUAUUUCUUUCCCCUCUUUCUAUUCAGGAGGAUGCUUUGUAUCUAAGAAGUCCAUAGAAGUAUACCUUGGAGAAAAUGCUUGUGGCCAAAGAUUGCUACUUUUAUAGGAUAUUAGAACCAGUUAAGCUGUUACAAAUAGUCAAAUUCAAUGCCUUUAUUUUAUAAGAGAGCUUUGAAGCGCAGAGGAUGUCACAGGGAGUUAUUUAAAAAAAAAUCUGGGGAUGAGUAGGUGGCUUAAUGGAUUGAGAGCCAGGAUUAGAGAUGGAUUGUCCUGGGUUCAACUAUGGCCUCAGACACUUCCUGGCUAUGUGACUCUGGAUAAGUUAUUCAAUCCUCAUUACCUAACCAUUACCAUUCUUCUUCCUAGCAAACAAUACACAGUAUUGAUUCUAUGGCAAAAGCCAGGUAACCUCAGUCAGUCAGCAAAGGCUUCAGGGUCUUCACCAUCAGCCACAAGCAGCCAAAACUCAGUCCAAAAGCUAAAACCCCCAGCUUCUUCUCCACCACUCUAUCAGAAGCCAAAGGACAGCCCACCAAUCCUCUCAGCCCAGUUCAGAAUGGUUUGGCUUCAACUGUUUUUCCAGAGGAAUGGACUACUAAUGAGCCACUGCUCAGUGUGAAGGAGCACAGGAUCAAGGACCAAUGCCAAGGAGGACAUGUCUUAUGGGACCCAGGGAAAUGACUGUUCAGUAAGUCCUGAGGUUGUACUUUCCUAUUUUCUGCCUUUAAGAUAUGAAACUCAAUAUAUAUCCCUGUUUGGCUUUAACUUUGCCUUGCUAUCCCUAUGACUGAAGUAGGAAUCAGGCCAGGGAAUGAUAUUUCCCUUUUGUCAGACAUUCCUCCCUAUGGCAAUUUUCUGUAGUCCUGGCUGAUGGUGGGAACUGCAAUAUUGCAGCAUCUGUUCUACAUGUUCAUGGAUAUAAACUACCUCAAUUGAAUCUUGAUAUUGAAUUGAGGACCUGUUAUGAUUUUAAUAUGUGCUUAAGUAUAUUUUUAUACAUAUAUUAUUUUAAUCAAUUUAUUUUAUUUUAUUUUCUUUCUCCUCUUGUUUUUAGAAGAAAUGAUUCAUAUACCUUAUAGCUUAGGCAUAUAUUCUAUGUCAAUUCUAUUGGUGUAUGUCCUUCUAAGGGGAGGUUUGUGUGAUUAUCCUUAAAGUCCAAUGUCUAAGAUCUUUUUAAAGCAAUUUUAGUAAAAGAUAAUCAUUAAUACCAUAGACCAGAAAAGCGGGUCUUUGGGAGAAGAUGCAAUAAGGAUGCUUGCAGAAAUAAACCAUCACAUCAUGAGCUUUGAAGUGAACA
rnacentral:lncRNA from 1 species